rnacentral:lncRNA from 1 species
CUCUAGUGCUGCAAACACUCUAUGAUAUCCUCUAGGGAAUUCCUGCAGAGUAAAUGAUUCACAGCUAAACAGCUUGCUAUGCCAAGAGCUAGGGACCAGCCAUUCAUUAUGCUCUCAACAGUAAGCCUCAAGGUGACUGCACCUUAGUACUGAAGGCAAAACCUCUCAGAAUGCACACACAGUUACGAUGGCAAUACUCUGCGGCACUGGAGGUUAGCAAGUAUUCUAGAGGAAGCUCCGGAAUGUCCAGCUCCCUCACACCUAACAGGACUUCAUGAAAAGAGAAAUUGAAUAAGCAAGGUGGGUUUUGGUUGGUUGGUUGUUUUGUUUGUUUGUUUGUUUGGUUGGUUGGUUGGUUGGUUGGUUUCCAUAGGAGAGAUUGAACCUAGAGCCUCACAAGUGCUAGGAAUGUAUUUUACCACGUGACAUAUGCUCCCAGUCCUUUCUCCACUCUUUAUUUUGAGACAGCCUUCCCAAGUUACUCAAGCUAGCCUUGAACUUACAAUUCUCC